CAACUAUAUAAACACAAACACACUUCUGUUCUAAUAUUUAAUGCACUUUACACACGGACACGUAAAAUUUAAUGAACAUCAUGAUCCUGAAAUAUAUAAACUUCGUCAGUGAAAACUGCUCCAGUAUAUUUUCGAAUAAUAAAAAUAAAUGAAUUUUAACUGAAUUAACUGUUGCGACUAUUUCGACACUGACAGACUGCUUGACAGGAAAAUAAUACGAUUUUUCAAAUUAACAAUUUUAAUUUUACUUUUAUUUUAUUAAUUAAUUAACAAUUUUAAGAGAAACCAAAUAAGCAAGAACAGUUUUAGUAUUAAAACCAUUAAUCAUUUCUGUAAAAAGCAAGAACUUAAAUGAAAAAUUCCAGCAACUGGAAACUUGAGCCGUAACUUCUGGGUCCAUUAUUAUAAAGAAACCUUGACAAUUUUCAAGAGGAUGCACGUAAUGGCCGUUAUAUAUUGCCUUAAAAGAGUCCAGUUUCGAGUCGUGUAUCAUUGCGGACGUAGCUGAAGGCUGCUUUAUUUUAUUUCUCCUCUCAAAUUCUGGCGGGAAGGAUUCUCAAAACUGAACUUCGACAGUAUGUUUGUUUCGAGGUCUCCCUCGAGUCAGAGCGCGGUCAGAGUAGGGGGAUUCCCGCGGUCAACACUACAACCAGACUCGCGACGCCACCCCGAGGACUCCUGACCGCCGGUCAUCCCCGUACAUACGACGACGGGAAUGCGGACCGCAUAGUGGACCGCAGUCGAUGACGCGCCGUCCCGUCCUCCUGGUGCCAGUGUCCUACAGUGACGGCACCGUACGCAGCCUCGACCCCCUCAGGUCACCCCGUAGCCAUCACCGGGAGGAGACUGCCUCCUCACAGAGAUAAAUUACGUUUCCUGAAUUAA